AUAAUAUAAUAUAAUAGUUCAGUACUGUAUAAUGUAAUAGAAUAGUUCAGUACUGUAGAAUGUAAUAGAAUAGUUUAGUACUGUAGAAUAUAACAGAAUGGUACUGUAGAGUAUAAGUAUUGUUCCUGUGAGCGAACAUCAAGAAGAAAUUAAAACAUAUAUUUAUAAUAUUCUCAGCCUUCAUAUAAAAUAUGACUGGACAUCGAGGCUGUUUCAGAAAUACAAUGUUAUUGUGUUCAGAUUCUGUUCCAUGUUACUUAAAACAUGAAUGGAAAAAUAUUUAACAUAAAAAUGAUUUACAAUGUUCCCCCUCUUUGAGAUGAUUCUGUAUUAUGAAAAGUGCUUGACAAAUGUAAUUUAUUAUUAUUAUUAUUAUUAUCUUAUUCAUCAUAGUUUAAAAGGCAAAACUGACUCUAGAUCAGCACUCCAACUAAGUGGGAAUACAGUAGUCCUGUGGCUCAGUUGGUAGAGUAUGGUGAAUGGGUCCCAAUGGGACCACCGGCAUGAAAGAUGUAUCCACACAUAAUAAGUCACUUUGGUUAAAAGUGUUUCUAAAUGGCAUAUCUUAUGAUAUAAUAAUAUCACUUAGUUGGACUAUACAGGUCCAGAUAUACAGGGUUUAUGUCAAACUUGUGUUCAGGUCCUCUUGGUUCUGGGUUUGUUGUGUUCAGGUCCUCUUGGUUCUGGGUUUGUUGAGUUCAGGUCCUCUUGGUUCUGGGUUUGUUGUGUUCAGGUCCUCUUGGUUCUGGGUUUGUUGUGUUCAGGUCCUCUUGGUUCUGGGUUUGUUGAGUUCAGGUCCUCUUGGUUCUGGGUUUGUUGUGUUCAGGUUCUCUUGGUUCUGGGUUUGUUGCGCUCAGGUCUUCUUGGUUCAGGGUUUGUUGUGUUCAGGUUCUCUUGGUUCUGGGUUUGGUGAGUUCAGGUCCUCUUGGUUCAGGGUUUGUUGUGUUCAGGUUCUCUUGGUUCUGGGUUUGUUGCGUUCAGGUCUUCUUGGUUCAGGGUUUGUUGUGUUCAGGUUCUCUUGGUUCUGGGUUUGUUGCGUUCAGGUCUUCUUGGUUCUGGGUUUGUUGCGUUCAGGUCUUUUUGGUUCUGGGUUUGUUGCGUUCAGGUCUUCUUGGUUCUGGGUUUGUUGCGUUCAGGUCUUCUUGGUUCUGGGUUUGUUGCGUUCAGGUCUUCUUGGUUCUGGGUUUGUUGCGUUCAGGUCUUUUUGGUUCUGGGUUUGUUGUGUUCAGGUCUUCUGGGUUUGUUGACUCUACUAUAGAUCUCAGAAGAGUCCUCCUCAGCUGCUUGUGCUGCCGUGGGUC
ensembl:lncRNA